rnacentral:rRNA from 1 species
UACGUAGGGGUCUAGCGUUGUCCGGAAUCAUUGGGCGUAAAGAGCUCGUAGGCGGUUCGGCAAGUCGGAUGUGAAAUCUCCACGCUCAACGUGGAGGGGCCAUUCGAAGCUGCCGUGACUCGAGUCCGGUAGGGGAGUGCGGAAUUCCCGGUGUAGCGGUGAAAUGCGCAGAUAUCGGGAGGAACACCAGUGGCGAAGGCGGCACUCUGGGACGUUACUGACGCUGAGACGCGAAAGCGUGGGGAGCAAACAGG